rnacentral:rRNA from 1 species
AAUAGAUACCCGGGUAGUCCACGCCGUAAACGAUGAGUGCUAAGUGUUGGAGGGUUUCCGCCCUUCAGUGCUGCAGCUAACGCAUUAAGCACUCCGCCUGGGGAGUACGGUCGCAAGACUGAAACUCAAAGGAAUUGACGGGGGCCCGCACAAGCGGUGGAGCAUGUGGUUUAAUUCGAAGCAACGCGAAGAACCUUACCAGGUCUUGACAUCUCCUGACCGCCCUGGAGACAGGGGUCUUCCCCUCGGGGACAGGAUGACAGGUGGUGCAUGGUUGUCGUCAGCUCGUGUCGUGAGAUGUUGGGUUAAGUCCCGCAACGAGCGCAACCCUUGGUUCUAGUUGCCAGCAUUCAGUUGGGCACUCUAGAGCGACUGCCGGCGACAAGUCGGAGGAAGGUGGGGAUGACGUCAAAUCAUCAUGCCCCUUAUGACCUGGGCUACACACGUGCUACAAUGGAUGGUACAAAGGGCAGCGAAGCGGCGACGCAUGAGCGAAUCCCAGAAAACCAUUCUCAGUUCGG